rnacentral:rRNA from 1 species
AAAUUGAAGAGUUUGAUCAUGGCUCAGAUUGAACGCUGGCGGCAGGCCUAACACAUGCAAGUCGAGCGGAAACGAGUUGUCUGAACCUUCGGGGAA